AUGAAGCAUGCCUUGCGACGUGCCGGCGUGGACGACCCCAUGUCAAUGAAGUUCCACUUCAUGAUGGGAUUGAACAACGACAUCUCCAAGACUAUCUUCCUCGAGAACUACAAGUCCCUCGACGACAACUACAUUGACGCUCUCAAGGCGGAACAAGAACUCAUGAAGGCCAAGGCUUCUCGACCCCAAGCACACUUCUCGAAGACCAAGCUCCAACACGGCGAGCAUGAGGCUAGUACCACCAUGAUGUCCAAGUCCGACGAGCUCCAAGACGACGCUCCCAAGUUCGACUUCACCGCCACCCCUCUUUGUGGCAUUUAUGAUGCCGAGUCCUCCACGACUCUUUUUCAAGAUGGUACGGCAAUGAGUACGACUACGGAGACCUUCAAGGACCAAGCUUUGGAGGCAAGCGACAUGGUGACGAGCAAGGAUGAUGCUUCCAUCUUAGGAGGCGAGAGUGAUGUUGUGCCAUCUUCGGCCUUCAUCCACGGCGAUGGUGACGAGAUGAUCGAGCAUGGGAUUUUCCCUUCGGUCAUGGAGGAGAGUGAUGAUGUGCCAUCUUCGGCCUUCAUCCAUGGCGACGACGAUGAGACGGUUGAGUAUUUCACCUCGACCACGAUGACGUAUGAUGACUUGAGUGCCUUGUGCCACCAUAUUGAGAGCGAGAGUGACUUCACCACUAGCCCCAUAUAUGAUGUGUUGCCACAAUCCCCAUGUGAGGAGAGCCACAACCCCCACCAUUUGAGUGAGAUGAGUGACUCCACCAUAUGUGAGUUUGAGUGCGCCUACCUUGAGGGAGUGAGUGAACCACCACAUAGAGAGAGUGAGAUAGUUGAUGAGGCAUAUGAGGCCAUUUCGAUUUCUAACAACUUAACCUCUACCUCUAUUGUGUCUUCUCGUUUGGUGCUAGGUACCAUAUAUGAUGACGUGCCGAUCCUCGACGACUUCGUCCUUCCUUUGGACAAGACGAUGGCCAUGGUGGAAUAUGAUGCACCCCCCACAUGGUUCCAUCAAGAUGAAGAUGACCACGAUAUGGUCUUUCCCACCUCACCUACACCACUUGAGUGGAAUGAACAAGGUAACAAAGGUGAAGGUGAUGCUCUUGUCCCACUAGUGGACAUUCUUGACAUUGAUUGCUUGCAUGACGUUGAUCCACCUAUUCCCAUGUUUUAUGCUAGUGCGACUUCCUCAUGUCAUGACUUACCACUUUAUGAUGACUAUGAUGAUGAGCAUGUUGAAUUGCCCAGUUGUGAUGCCAUGUUACAUAGGAUUUCUUGUAACAAUUCUCUAGGUCACAGCAUGUUUGACAAUCCGCUUGACUUGUCAUAUGCUAUGCACGAGAUCAAUCAUAUGUCUUAUUUGCAAUCUCAUCAUAGUGACUAUGCAUAUGCCUUUAAAAUAAACCCGAUUUGCACAUAUGGCAUAGAUGACAAGCCCAUGGUUAUUGGCAUUUGUUUUUCUUGUGAUGAUAUUGAUAUGCCCCCUUUGCAUCAUUUAUCUGAUAUGCCAUACCAUGACCACCUAGCUUCGGAUAUGCAUUGUUUUGGAUGUUGUUCAUAUUCUCCAUAUGAUGUUUCCACUAUUGUUCAUGAGGAGACCCCCAUAGUUUCCUCAUACAUGUUAGGAGAUUUUGAUCAAUCCCAUUAUUUGCAUGAUUCCCAUGAUUGUGUACACCACAUGCUCCCCAUGAAUAAACAUGCUAUUGAUGUGCCAUAUACGUGUAUGUUAAAUUUGCAUCCCCAUCGUGUCAUACACAAUAAAUAUUCUUUCAUGAUGGAUGACAUGUUCUUAUACCAUGCAUCAAAUUUCUUUGAGCGAUGCUUAUCUUGUGCUAACUCACACAUGCACAUACACAUCAUGAUGGAUGAUGUGUACAUUUACCACGCACACACGUUCUUUGUUUGUGUCUCUUUUGUGUAG
rnacentral:rRNA from 1 species